GUUUGGAAGACAGAUUUAUGCUUCUUAUGAUUAAGACACAAGUUGGAUAGGAAUCCUUCAGGUUUUAAGUAACCACUUAAACUGAUUCCAGAAUGACAGAAUCUCUAGCUUCUCCUGCUGCGUUUCCCACACCCCAUGCUGUGUCUCCACACCCCAUGCUGCAUCUCCCACAUCCCAUGCAGCGUCUCCACACCCCAUGCUGCGUCCCCACACACCAUGCAGUGUCUCCACACCUCCACACCCCAUGCUGCAUCCCCACAUCCCAUACUGCAUCUCCCACAUCCCAUACUGCAUCUCCCGCACCCCAUGGUGCAGCUCCCACAUCCCAUGCUGCAUCCCCACACCCCACACUGCAUCUCUCACACCCCAUGCUGCCUCUCCACACCCCAUGCUACCUCUCCACACCCCAUGCUGCCUCUCCACACCCCUCCACAUCCCAUGCUGUGUCUCCACACCCCAUGCUGCGUCUCCACACCCCUCCACAUCCCAUGCUGUGUCUCCACAUCCCAUGCUGCGUCUCCACACCGCUCCACAUCCCAUGCUGCGUCUCCACACCCCUCCACAUCCCAUGCUGCGUCUCCACACCCCAUGCUGCAUCUCCUGCACCCCAUGCUGCCUCUCCCGCACCCUGUGCUGCAUCUCCACACCCCAUGCUGUGUCUCCACACCCCAUUCUGGGUCUCCACAUCACAUGCUGCGUCUCCCACACCCCAUGCUGCAUCCCCACACCCCAUGCUGCGUCUCCCACACCCCAUGCUGCAUCCCCACACCCCAUGCUGCGUCUCUACACCCCAUGCUGCGUCUCCACACCCCAUGAUGCAUCUCCAUACUGCAUGCUGCAUCUCAUGCACCCCAUGCUGCGUCUCCACACCCUAUGAUGUGUCUCCGCACCCCAUGCUCAUCCCUGCACCCCAUGUUGCGUCUCCACACCCCAUGCUCAUCCCUGUACCUCAUGCUGCAUCUGCCACACCCCAUGCUGUGUCUUCACACCCCACGCUGCAUCUCCCCCACCCCAUGCUCCAUCUCCACACCCCAUGUUGCAUCUCCACACCCCAUGCUGCAUCUCCAUACCCCUUGCUGUGUCUCCACACCCCCUGCUGCGUCUCCACACCCCAUGCUGCAUCUCCAUACCCCUUGCUGUGUCUCCACACCCCAUGCUGCGUCUCCACACCCCAUGCUGCAUCUGCAUACCCCAUGCUGUGUCUCCACACCCCAUGCUUGCUGGUUUUUCCCUUGUAAUGAGAAUGAGCUUUAUGCACUUGAGCCUGACCCUUG
rnacentral:lncRNA from 1 species